rnacentral:rRNA from 1 species
GAUGAACGCUGGCGGCGUGCCUAACACAUGCAAGUCGAGCGAACAGACGAGGAGCUUGCUCCUCUUACGUUAGCGGCGGACGGGUGAGUAACACGUGGAUAACCUACCUAUAAGACUGGGAUAACUUCGGGAAACCGGAGCUAAUACCGGAUAAUAUAUUGAACCGCAUGGUUCAAUAGUGAAAGACGGUUUUGCUGUCACUUAUAGAUGUAUCCGCGCCGCAUUAGCUAGUUGGUAAGGUAACGGCUUACCAAGGCAACGAUGCGUAGCCGACCUGAGAGGGUGAUCGGCCACACUGGAACUGAGACACGGUCCAGACUCCUACGGGAGGCAGCAGUAGGGAAUAUUCCGCAAUGGGCGAAAGCUUGACGGAGCAACGCCGCGUGAGUGAUGAAGGUCUUCGGAUCGUAAAACUCUGUUAUUAGGGAAGAACAAAUGUGUAAGUAACUAUGCACGUCUUGACGGUACCUAAUCAGAAAGCCACGGCUAACUACGUG